GCGGUGGUUGCCGUCGGCGUGUUGCGGUGGUAGCCGUCGGCGUGUUGAGGUGGUUGCCGUCGGCGUGUUGCGGUGGUUGCCGUCGGCGUGUUGCGGUGGUUGCCGU
rnacentral:ncRNA from 2 species